UACGGGGGGGGCUAGCGUUGUUCGGAAUUACUGGGCGUAAAGGGCGCGUAGGCGGUCUACUAAGUUGGAUGUGAAAACUCUGGGCUUAACCCAGAGCCUGCAUUCAAAACUGAUAGGCUAGAGUUCUGGAGGGGAUAGCGGAAUUCCUGGUGUAGCGGUGAAAUGCGUAGAUAUCAGGAGGAACACCGGUGGCGAAGGCGGCUUUCUGGACGGUAACUGACGCUGAGACGCGAAAGCGUGGGGAGCAAACAGG
rnacentral:rRNA from 1 species